rnacentral:rRNA from 1 species
UGAAGCUGGAAUCGCUAGUAAUCGCAGGUCAGCAUACUGCGGUGAAUACGUUCCCGGGUCUUGUACACACCGCCCGUCACACCAUGGGAGCCGGAAAUGCCCGAAGCCAGUGACCCAACCUUAGGGAGGGAGCUGUCGAAGGUGGAGCCGGUAACUGGGGUGAAGUCGUAACAAGGUAAC